UCUUUCCCUUCCUUCUUUCCCUUCCUUCUCUCAUCCUUUCUAUCCAUUCUACGUUUUUCUAUCUUCCACCCGUCAUUUUUUCUUCCACCUUUCCAUCCUUCAUUUUUUCUUCCUUUCACGUAAUCGUCCUUUCUUUCAUCAAUCCAGUUUUCUCCUUCCUUUUUUUCCCCCUCAAUACACUCGUUUAUUCCCUUCUUUCUCAUCUUUGGAACUCCCGUACCUCUUUCUCUCUCUCUCUAAAUCUCUCUGAUGUCCACGCUCAUUUUUCUACACCAAAUCAGACAUGGCUCUGUGAGAGAUGACUGCGUCUCUCUCUCUCUCUCUCUCUCACACACACACACACACACACACACACACACACACACACAAUGGGAAAUCGAUGAGUGUGAAAUUGAAACGGAACGGAUUCUUAUCGAUUGAGAGGAAAGAUAGAAAGAGAGUGAUGAGUGUGGAAGUGUUUCGCUCUGCAGUUACUAACCCGACAUGGACAGACUCUCAAUAACACGACAAAACCAUCGAUAUUUAACACUCCGCUCCUCGACUCCCCCAAAUAUACCAUUAACAUCACUGAUACGAGAUAUGAGAGGAGCGUUCUGAUUGGCUGAGAGUGAUGAGCCACUGAACAGUGUGGCUCUGAGUCUGGGAUUGGGAUUGUGACUGGAUUGUGACUGGGAUAAGAGACUGCGUAAAUAAUGGUAUACACUCCUGUAGAAGGGUCUAGGGGAUAGGCUGCAGGGUGUAGGGCACAGUGGAUAGGCUGUAGGGUGUAGGGGACAGACUGUAGGGUGUAGGGGACAGACUGUAGGGCAUGAGGAUAGGCUGUAGGCUGUAGGGGACAGACUGUAGGGCAUUGGGGAUAGGCUGUAGGGUGUAGGAGACAGACUGUAGGGCAUGAGGAUAGGCUGUAGGCUGUAGGGGACAGACUGUAGGGCAUGGGGAUAGGCUGAAGGGUGUAGGGGACAGACUGUAGGGCAUAGGGGAUAGGCUGUAGGGUGUAGGGGACAGACUGUAGGGCAUUGGGGAUAGGCUGUAGGGUGUAGGGGACAGACUGUAGGGCAUUGGGGAUAGGCUGUAGGGUGUAGGGGACAGACUGUAGGGCAUGGGGAUAGGCUGUAGGGUGUAGGGGACAGACUGUAGGGCAUUGGGGAUAGGCUGUAGGGUGUAGGGGACAGACUGUUGGGCACGGUGGAUAGGCUGUAGGGUGUAGGGGACAGACUGUAGGGCAUGAGGAUAGGCUGUAGGAUGUAGGGGAUAGGCUGCAGAGCAUAAGGUGUAGGGCAUAGGGUUUGGAAAGUCGGCUGUAGGGUGUCGGGGAUAGGUUGUAGGGUUUAGGGAAUAGGCUGUAGGGUGUAGUGGAUGGGGAUAAAGGAUGCGGUAGAGGACAAGGGGGGUAAAGGUAUAAGGUCUAGGGGAUUAUGGAUAGGGUGGAGGGGACAAAGAGUAAGGAUAAGGACGGUGUGUGUGUGUGUGUGUGUGUGUGUGUGUGUGUGUGUGUGUCAGGACAUUAUUGAUGGUGCUUUUAGCAAUAAUGAUUUUACAUGAUUGUUUAUAUGAUAUAAAGUAUGUAAUACAGUGGUAUGUAUAUGUUAUAUUUGUGUAUCUUAUUCUGUGUGUGUGUGUGUGCGUGUGUGUGUGUGUGUGUGCGCGCGUGUGCGUGUGUGUGUAUGGACGGAGGCUAAUGAUUUGUCCUGUUUACUCUGGGCUCGGUGCAGCGAUACACACGCAGGAGGAAAUGGAUUCUAACCCAUCUCACUGAUCUCUUAUAUUAAACAGCUCAGCUUUCACUUAAAGUAAAUCUAGAUCCUCGUGUGUGUGUGUGUGUGUGUGUGUGUGUGUGUGUGUGUGUGUGUCUCAAGAGCCUCUGCAUUAUCGGCUCAUCGCUUUCUCAGAGUACUCUGGGUAAACAGAGGCCUUGUUUUUGUGUGUGUGUGUGUGUGUGUGUGUGUGUGUGUGUAAGUAACAUUGGGACUGUAGCAGUGGAUUAGAGGAUUAGACUAUAAUCCUGUUAUAAACACUAAAUCACACUUUGUGUCUGUGAACUCUGCAUUAUUUACUCUACUGCUUAAAUACAGUAAUGAUACACUCUUCCUUUUCUUCACCUCCCUUUCCUUUCCUUUCCAUCUAUCACUUUAUCUAUCGCUCUAUCUAUCGGUUUCAUUUCUUAUUCUUCAUUUCUCUCCUUACAUUUCUCUUCUGCUUUGUUUGUUUUUCUUUCUCCUCCGACUCUCUCUCUCUUUUCUUAUAUUAUUCAUCAUUCAUUUUUUGUUUUCCUUUUUUAUUUCUCACAUAUUUAUUUAUUUAAAGCCUUUCCUGUAUUUUCUGUUUAUCUCUUCAUGAAUCCCCCGCUUUAAUUCCUCCUCCUUGUUUGAUUUCUGUCAUUCAUUUGUUCAUUUUUAAAAAAUAGUUUUUCAAAUUUUGAUAUUUUUUCCCCCGCCGUACGCUUUCAUCUUCAGUUUCUUUCUCGGUGUUCCCUGAUGUUUUGCUUCCCUACAGUUCUUUCUUUCUUUUCCUUUCUUUCCUUCGUUCCAUCUUACUUUCAUUCCAUCCUUCCUUCCCUCCAAUCCAAUUAUCCUAUUAUGAACGCUCCCCUUUUGUAUUCCUCCUUUUUCUUCUCUCUCUCUCUCAUUAUUUUUUCUUACUUUGCUGUAGCUUCCUUUCUUCCUUUCCUUCUGUUUCUAUUUAUUCCCACCCUUCCUUUCUUGUCAUUCCCUUAAUUGUUUGCUUCCUUCUUUGUUCUUUCUUUGUUUCUUGCUUCUUCUCAUGUUCCUUUCUGUACAUCUCCCCCUGUUAUUCUGUUCUUUUGCACACGUUUUGUACGUGUGAACGCCGCGCGUGUGCGUGUGAGAGGAGGCGACUCGUCUCCUCUUUAUUAGGGAUUAACAGAUUGACGUCGUUCCUGUCGUUUAUCAUUCUCUCUGAUGCGAGUCCUCCUCUAACACACUCUGACCUGUGAAAGCCAUAAAUGGGUUUAUAAGGUUUCUCACACACACACCUACACACACACAUACACACACGCGCACACACACACCUACACACAUACACACACACACACACACACAGGAAAAUGCUUAAAGCAUUACAGUAUGUCAUAACAGAAAGAUCAGCCAGCGGCUAUUUAUGUUAGCUUCAUAACGAGCGCCAUUAAUGGCUGGCUUUAGCCGUAAACACUCGAGAGGGACGUACAAACAUCCCGGAGAGAGAGAGAAAGGGCGCGACAGAGAGAGAAAGAGAAAGAGAGAGAGAGAGAGAGAGCAGCUGUCUUUAUGCUAGUCAUCUCAUUUUUCCUCUUCAUCCACCUGGAGACUUGAGAAGUAAACAUGGAUUAUCGUGUAGACAUUAGCUAGCGUGCUAACUCCUACUGUGUGUGUACGUUUGUGUGUCUGUGGAUCGUCAAGCGAGUUAGCAAGCGAGUGUGUGUGUGUGUGUGUGUGUGUGGGUGUGUGUGUGUGGAUCAUCAUAUAUUUGCAUGCAAACACUCAUUUUGUGUGAUUACCAGACAGCGUGUUAGCUACCACAAAUCUCUGGAAUACUUUGUGUGUGUGUGGGGGGGGGGGGGGGGGGGGGGAUUAAACUAUGCGGUAAUGAAAACACAGCACAAUGUGUGUGU
ensembl:lncRNA